ACAGUUCUGGCGACGUUACGUCGUCGCCAUUUUGUUUUACCGGGAGUGCAGAAACAGUAGCGGCAGUAGCAGCGGAGUGUUUCUGUUCUUCUCCGCAGCACGAACCGUCAACCCGGCACUGCCGCAUCGUGCAGACAACGCCAAGGUCGCAUGAUGUCUGAAGACAUGGCCGCCGACCACGUCAACGGUAACGGCACGGAGGAGCCCAUGGACACGACGGCUGCAGUGACCCACUCAGAACACUUCAGUUCUCUGCUGGAGGCUGGACUACCUCAGAAGGUGGCGGAGAAGCUGGAUGAACUCUAUGUAGCAGGUCUGUUGGCUCACAGUGAUCUGGAUGAAAGAGCCAUCGAAGCUUUGAAGGAGUUCAACGAGGAGGGGGCGCUGCAGGUGUUGGCCCAGUUCAAGGACAGUGACCUGUCCCACGUCCAGAACAAAAGUGCCUUCCUGUGUGGAGUGAUGAAGACGUACAGGCAGAGGGAGAAACAGGGGACCAAGGUUUCAGACUCAACCAAAGGACCCGACGAAGCUAAGAUCAAAGAACUCCUGGACAGAACCCAGUACACCCUGGACGUCACUACAGGACAGCGCAAGUACGGAGGGCCCCCCCCAGAGACCGUGUACUCAGGUCCACAGCCCACAUGUGGGACAGAGAUCUUUGUGGGGAAGAUUCCUCGGGACCUGUUUGAAGACGAGCUGGUUCCUCUCUUUGAAGAAGCCGGUCCAAUCUGGGACCUGCGGCUGAUGAUGGAGCCGCUGACGGGUUUGAACCGAGGCUACGCCUUCGUCACCUUCUGUACUAAAGAAGCCACUCAGGAGGCCGUGAAGCUGUGCAACAAUCACGAGAUCCGUCCUGGCAAACAGAUUGGUGUGUGUAUAUCUGUGGCCAACAACCGUCUGUUUGUCGGUUCAAUUCCAAAGAGUAAAACAAAGGAGCAGAUUGUUGAGGAGUUCUCAAAGGUCACAGAGGGCCUCGGCGACGUCAUACUCUACCAUCAACCCGACGACAAGAAGAAGAACCGCGGCUUCUGCUUCUUGGAGUACGAGGACCAUAAAACGGCGGCUCAGGCCCGGCGGCGGCUGAUGAGCGGGAAGGUCAAGGUGUGGGGCAACGUGGUGACGGUGGAGUGGGCCGACCCCAUCGAGGACCCCGACCCUGAGGUCAUGUCCAAGGUCAAAGUUUUAUUUGUCAGGAAUCUGGCCAAUGGCGUCACAGAAGAACUUCUGGAGAAAUCCUUCAGUGAGUUUGGAAAACUGGAGCGAGUGAAGAAGCUGAAGGACUACGCCUUCAUCCACUUUGAGGAGAGGGACGCAGCAGUCAAGGCUCUGGAGGACAUGAACGGGAGGGAGAUGGAGGGAGAACCCAUCGAGAUCGUUUUUGCCAAACCUCCAGACCAGAAGAGGAAGGAGCGAAAGGCCCAGAGACAAGCGGCCAAAACUCAAAUGUAUGAUGACUACUACUACUACCCUCAUGCUCAGCACAUGCCUCCCCCUGUGAGGGGGCGUGGCCGUGGAGGCAACCGCGGAGGAUACUCCUACCCUCCGGACUACUACGGGUACGAGGAUUACUACGACUAUUAUGGCUACGACUACCACAGCUACCGCGGGGGCUACGAGGACCCCUACUAUGGCGGUUACGAUGACUUCCAGCCUCGCAGCCGCGGCGGAGGAGGUGGCGGCGGCAGCCGGGGCCCGCGCGGCGGAGCUUCUCCGGCCAGGGGCCGCGGGGGAAGCGGCGCUGGUGGCGGCGUACCUCGGGGCAGACCGACCUUCCCCCAGCGAGGGAGUCCAGGACCUGGCCGGGGCGGACGCGGUGCUAGAGGAGGAGUCGGAGGCAUCGGAGUGCAGCCCAGAGGGCGUGGAGGGGUACGUGGUGUGAGGGGCGGCCGCGGUGGAAAUGUAGGAGGAAAACGCAAAGCUGACGGUUACAACCAACCAGAUUCCAAGCGUCGCCAGACCAAUAAUCAGAACUGGGGCUCGCAACCUAUUGCUCAGCAGCCGCUCCAAGGUGGUGACCACUCUGGUUUGGUCUGGUGGUGGGGCUAGUGGCCAACACACCUUUUUAUUUUGGCUCUUGUGUCCAAAUCAUGUCCUUCCAACUCCUGCUGGUUCUGUCAGCAGGGGGCGCCAACGGCAGUCACCAGUGUCUGGUACAUUAUUAAACCACCCAGAUCAUUUCCUACUCAUGCUUGGUACGGGGGUGUCUCGUUUUGAUGUUUAAUUGACAACAUCAGUGUGUGUGUGUGUGUGUGUGUCCUUGUUCUCCCUGCUCUAAUUCUCUGCUUCCUUCUCUGACCUGGGCAGCAGGAUCAUGGACUGGAGGCUGGUCCUGAAGUCUGGUUCUGAGGCUGGUCACCGACAUCUACCAGUGCUGCCACUGACGCCACCGCUGGUAGACUGAGGAAUGAACACGCAGUCCGUCCAAGGUUCCUGACGUGACCUCUGACCUCCUGACCAUGGCCCUGACCUCUAGGGGAAACCCUUGGUUUUGUGAAGUCAAGGUCCCAGAAGUCUUUGUAGGAUCUGGUCCUUGUUGGUACUGAAGACCUACAGCCAUGGUUUCAGGUGGAGAACCUGGUCCAGAGCUGCUCCUCCUGCUGCUCCUCCUCCUCCUGCUCGUCUUCCUCUUUUGAAUUUUUAUGUCCUAUAUAAUAUUUAUAUUUUGUACAUUCUGAGUAUUUUUAUAAUAAAAACUUAAACUCCAACAUUUUUGUGCAU